GCCGAGGUAGCUCAAAGGUAGAGCGGGCGUCUCAUAAGCGCCAAAUGCUGGGUUCGAUUCCCGCCCUCGGCA
rnacentral:tRNA from 1 species